UGGCAUGGGUCGUAGUAAUUACGUUCAGGGUCAUGGUCGCGAAUCCCAAUCUCAACUUUCUUUUGCCACGUGUCAUACUAAUUAUGCCGAGGGUGAUGGUCGUGCAACCUAUAUUUCUCAACCUCAAUCCCAAUCUCGACCUGAAUCCCAAUCUCAACCUUCAUUUGCCAUGGGUCGUACAAGUGUACAUCAUGUCAUGUAUCCUACAUAUGAUGGAAAUAACACGCCU